CAGUCGCCACGGGAAUACGAAGGGGGCUAGCGUUACUCGGAAUUACUGGGCGUAAAGGGCGCGUAGGCGGCGCUCCAAGUUAGGCGUGAAAGUCCUGGGCUCAACCUGGGAACUGCGCUUAAGACUGGAGUGCUUGAGGAUGGAAGAGGGUUGUGGAAUUCCCAGUGUAGAGGUGAAAUUCGUAGAUAUUGGAUGGAACACCGGUGGCGAAAGCGGCUCUCUGGCCCGGAUCUGACGCUGAGGCGCGAAAGCGUGGGGAGCAAACAGGAUUAGAUACCCCGGUAGUCCCUGUCUCUUAUAC
rnacentral:rRNA from 1 species